AGAGUUUGAUCCUGGCUCAGAACGAACGCUGGCGGCAGGCCUAACACAUGCAAGUCGAGCGCACCCUUCGGGGUGAGCGGCGGACGGGUUAGUAACGCGUGGGAAUAUACCCAGUUCUAAGGAAUAGCCUCGGGAAACUGAGAGUAAUACCUUAUACGCCCUUCGGGGGAAAGAUUUAUCGGAAUUGGAUUAGCCCGCGUUAGAUUAGAUAGUUGGUGGGGUAAUGGCCUACCAAGUCGACGAUCUAUAGCUGGUUUGAGAGGAUGAUCAGCAACACUGGGACUGAGACACGGCCCAGACUCCUACGGGAGGCAGCAGUGGGGAAUCUUAGACAAUGGGCGCAAGCCUGAUCUAGCCAUGCCGCGUGAGUGAUGAAGGCCUUAGGGUCGUAAAGCUCUUUCUCCAGGGAUGAUAAUGACAGUACCUGG
rnacentral:rRNA from 1 species